AAACCAUUACUCUUCUUUUUGAGCGGCAAUUUGUUUACAAGCGGCUUCUCAAACACGCAUUAUUCAAAAACCCUAAUUAUCAUCUUCUUCAAUUCUCUCAAUUGAAAUCAAUCUCCAAUUUAUCAUCUCUUCAUCAUUCAUCAGUUGAAAUCAUUCUCCACCGCCUCAUGCUCCAGCCGUUUCUCUCCUCCAAAGCCUGAUCCCAAAUUUGUUAUCCUCCAUUGAUCGUCGCCUCCUCCAAACCCUAAUUCCAAAUUUGUUGUCCUCCAUUGAUCGUGGCCUCCAGUUACAGGUUUCUGGUAUGUGGUCCCGGAAGAAGAAAUCUCAAUCUAUCAUCUUCUCAACUCUGAGCACCACUUCAGUUUGUUCAAAACAAAGUUUGAAUAAGGCCCUGAUUCUUCCGACUGGUUAUAUGUAUUUGUAUUAAAAAUCAGGGUUCGUGUGGAUCGUGCUGGUCCUUUAGUACAACCGGGAGCUUUUGAAGAAUCUCACUUCCUUCAAACAGGGGAGUUGGUUAGUCCCCUGUAAACAACAACUUGUGGAUUGUGAUCAUGGGAUUCAAAUGGUUUCUCAUUGGGGUUUUAGGUUUUUGUUGAUUUUAAUCUUUGCUGACGAUCAUAUUAUGAAUCAGGUUUAUUAAUGUGUUGUUUAUGUUAAAUAAGAUUCCUGCAUUGUUUAGGAUCUUUUUGGUUACAGAGUUGUACAUUUUUUAUGACUAUAUGAGAAAUUGAGAAGUUGAAGUUAUAAUUACUAGAGGGUUUUGUUUGAUGCCAUAAUCAUAGUGCUUUUAAUCCGUGUGUCAUUUUGGAAAAUUGUAGGUUGUAUAUAAUUAACUAAUGAUUAAUGGAUGUUGAUCAACAUAGACUCUGUUUAGUGGGUGUUAAGGAUGUGCCACCUCACCCCCAUGGAGCGCCAAACACUACUCCGUGGGUACCAAGGAGGGGCACCAAGAAUGGGGGCGCCGUGGUUAUAACAGGCGUGAGAAAGUUGUGCAAUCAAGUUUUUUUAGCCAAUUGCACCAUGAAAAAACUGGAUACCCUAGGGGAGAAUUCUUACAAGGACAACACCCUGAUAAUGCAACAUCUUCGCGAUAACCUCAAGUUGUGGACUUUCAACAUGCAGGGGCAGUGCAGAGGAAAUUAAAGAAGAACCUAAGGCCGACGAGUAACAACUUUCCUUUUUUCCUCACGAUCGAUCUAUGGGUUGUAACUGUUCUUGAAGAAAUGAUUAUAUUUAGAGAUGAUUUUAGGAUCUGUAAGUACGUAUAACCCUAAUUGCUUUGCACAAUUUAUCUUUAACUUAUAUAACUUCCUGUAAUUCUGUAGAAUCUCAAAGUUUGUUGCGACUUUUACAAAAUAUGAGUGUUAUUAAAUUCAUCUCAUGUUUGUGCACUGAGGUAGGCCUGGCAGGAGUUGGCGAUCUAAAUGUACUCAUUUUGUGUAGGAUAAACAAAUGUUUUUCCAAGCCUGCAUCAACUGUAAUUAACGCAUUUGUAUACUUUAUAUGCACUCCAGGUCCUCUACUAACGAAAAAGGGAUUUCAGGAGUUUUUCCUUCAACACCUCUUUGGUCAAUGUGAUUACAUUGUUUUGAACUUUAAAACAUGUUUAGUACAGCUGCUGCUGCUUUUGAGGAACCAAUAACUUCACAUAUCAAGGUUGAAUUCACGAAACUCCUUAUCAAUGGACAGUUUGUGGAUGAAGCAUCAGUAAAGCUAUAGGUGGGCCACGGGAGGUAAGUUGAAAGACCAGUUUUCUGCUGCCUAUGAUGCCUAUACUAAAAAAAGCGUUGGUCUGGGAAUGCUACAAUAGGGUACGAGGGAUAGUGCAAUGAGACUUAAAAGUGGAAAGUGAGUGGUGAUUCUGGUACAUCCAGAAUGAAGUCCUCAGUUGUGGGGGCUGCUAAAUAACACAACUCUGAAUGGCGACACUGAUAGGUGGGGCUAGAUGCAUGACGGUUAUGUGACGGACUUCUCUGUCAAGGCAGUCAGGCGUUGUCUAGCAGGGGAUCGGGGAACAAUACGGGUCAGUUUGAGUAUCUCUAGAGUAAGAUUGCAGUGCCAAAAGUUACAUGUUUUGUGUGGCAAGAAAUGAACAGGAAUAUCUCUAUGGCGGUGGCUCUUACAGCUCAAGGUGUGACAUUUGAUGAUGGGAAAUGCCCAAUGUGCGGCAUUCGGGAUGAGUCUGCAGAUCACCUCCUUGCUGAGUGCGUUGUCGCCAAAAAUAUAAGGUGGCGUGUGUGUGUUUGGACCAAGACCCCACUGCCCGAUAGUUCUAAUUCAGUGAAGACUAUGCUAAAGCAUGCCUUAAACAACAAUAAGCCAGCAAAGGAGAAACAGGUUGUCUACACCGUUUUUGCGAUUACAACAUGGAAGUUAUGGACACGUCGAAUGAUAAGGUGUUCAAUGAGAAGUUUCACUUGAAGGCGAAAAUGUUGGCGGACAUUAAAGAAGGAAGUUAUGACUGGUUGCUGAGAAGGGGUAAGAGUGCAUGGCAACCAAUAGAGAACUGGAACAGUUUUGUCGUAAAUUAGGUCAUCUUCUUUGUCUGCUCCCUUUGUAUGUUUUGUUCUUUGCUUCUGUAUGUUUGACUGUCUUAGCUACUGGCUAAGAUGGUAGUUUGGUAGUCAUAAGAUUCAUAUAAUAUUCUCAUUUUGCUGGCAAAAAAGAUUCUUCAAAUUUGUAAAAGAUAUGAUUAUUUUACAAAUCCAAUACAAACUCCUUAUAAUCUGCUUCUCAA